rnacentral:antisense_RNA from 1 species
UUUGACGGACCCCAGCCACAGCGGCCGAUCCGUCGGCCGGUCCUGGCCGUAGGUCGCCAGCAGGGCCUGCGCCUC